UCUCCACAACUGAGACUGUGACAGUGAAAAGCAGCACUGACACUGAUGCUGAGGACAAACUCUACGAUACGCUCAGUCCCGAUUUUACCAAAGACGAUGACACAGACAGCAAAACAACUAUCUCCAGUACUGAGACUGUGACGGUGAAAAGC